AACGAACGCUGGCGGCAGGCUUAACACAUGCAAGUCGAGCGGAGCGAGGGUGCUUGCACCUUAGCUUAGCGGCGGACGGGUGAGUAAUGCUUAGGAAUCUGCCUAUUAGUGGGGGACAACAUUCCGAAAGGAAUGCUAAUACCGCAUACGCCCUACGGGGGAAAGCAGGGGAUCUUCGGACCUUGCGCUAAUAGAUGAGCCUAAGUCGGAUUAGCUAGUUGGUGGGGUAAAGGCCUACCAAGGCGACGAUCUGUAGCGGGUCUGAGAGGAUGAUCCGCCACACUGGGACUGAGACACGGCCCAGACUCCUACGGGAGGCAGCAGUGGGGAAUAUUGGACAAUGGGCGGAAGCCUGAUCCAGCCAUGCCGCGUGUGUGAAGAAGGCCUUUUGGUUGUAAAGCACUUUAAGCGAGGAGGAGGCUACUUAGAUUAAUACUCUGGGAUAGUGGACGUUACUCGCAGAAUAAGCACCGGCUAACUCUGUGCCAGCCGCCGCGGUAAAAC
rnacentral:rRNA from 1 species